UGACGGAGGAGGUGUGACUGGGAAGCACAGUGCAGGGAACUGGGAUGGUGAAGGAGGUGUGACAGGGAGCCAGAGCUGUGGAGGGAACUUGUGACUGCAGAUUCGUGUGGAGGGAAUCGAGAAGGACGUGUGGCAGGUUGUCUACUCCAGAGAAAUAGAAUUCCUUAGAAGAACCUGCGAAAGACUGUAGAAGCAGCCUCCUUACAAGGCGAGAGAAGCUCUGCAGAUUUGCUUUUUACAGGCUGCUCAUUACCAGGCUGCGUAAAACACAUUCUCGUGUCACAUAAGAGACGGUGUAAAAGAAAUCCUAGCUAUACUGUGACAGAUUGUCCUGCCUGUGGUGCUUCCUCUUCUUUGCUCAGCCAGUGACGCCGAUUACGUCAGUGAUCCAGCAUCAUCGGGCAGGUUCCACCAGUGCUCUCCGGAGGGAUCAACCUCGGUUACAGUGAUGCUUACACAUGUACCCAGUGUGGCAAGUAUUGUUUUACUUUUCAUAUAUAUAUAUUUUUUAUUUCACCUUAAUAGUCUGUUUUUUUGUUAGUUGCCCAGCGCCAGUAAGUGUACGUACGUUUAUAGCUAGCUCUACAGUAUUAUUGGAGUAUCUCCACAAUGCUGGGACUCUCAUGUAUCAGUUGUUAUGUUGGUUUCUUUUUGGUGUUAAAGAGGUUCUCACUUCAGUAAGUGGCAUUUAUCAUGUAGACAAAGUUAAUACAAGGCACCUACUAAUGUAUUGUGAUUGUCCAUAUUGCCGGCUGGAUUCUGGUAUCCAAUAGUUAUGGCCACUGCUGCAGUGCAGAUAGGAGGUGACUGGGACAGGAAGGGUGCCUAUGCAUGCUCCCGGCCACCAGAGAGGAUGGUGCUUUUCCUAUAGUGUGCGAGCACGGCCACCACUGCUGGAUUUUAGCGUGGUCAUAACGCCUGCAUAUGAGCAGUGUAUAAUGUGAUAGAAAAAUGAAUCCAGCCAACAAAGGAAGCAAUAUGAAUUACUGUCUCCUGUUUACAAUGAGCUGGAGACAGACAAGCCGUAGUAACAGUCUUUUAAGGGAGCAGUGGAAAGGGACAGGGGACAUUCAUGAAAGUUGUUAUUAUAAGGUAAUUACAGAUCUUUUGACAAUCAUUGACUGACUAAUUCAGGUAUUCGUGCCUAGCUCUAAUAAACUAGCAAAUAAAAAUAAAAAAAUGACAUUUACACUUUAACUUUAGAUGUUGAAUAUAAGUGGAAAUUGCUACAAGUUAA